AGUGAGGGAUUUUGCGCAAUGGGGGAAACCCCGACGCAGCAACGCCGCGUGAGUGAAGAAGGCCUUUGGGUCGUAAAGCUCUGUCAACAAGGAAGAAAUUAUUUGAUAUAAAUAGUAUCAAGUAUUGACGGUACUUGUGGAGGAAGCGCCGGCUAACUCCGUGCCAGCAGCCGCGGUAACACGGGGGGCGCAAGCGUUAUUCGGAAUUAUUGGGCGUAAAGGGCGCGUAGGCGGUUUUGUCGGUCAGAUGUGAAAGCCCGGGGCUCAACCCCGGACGUGCAUUUGAAACAGCAAGACUUGAGUACGGGAGAGGAAAGCGGAAUUCCUGGUGUAGAGGUGAAAUUCGUAGAUAUCAGGAGGAACACCGAUGGCGAAGGCAGCUUUCUGGACCGAUACUGACGCUGAGGCGCGAAGGCGUGGGUAGCGAACAGGAUUAGAUACCCUGGUAGUCCACGCAGUAAACGAUGUACACUAGGUGUGGCGGAUAUUAAAAUCUGCUGUGCCCAAGCUAACGCAUUAAGUGUACCGCCUGGGGAGUACGGUCGCAAGACUA
rnacentral:rRNA from 1 species